rnacentral:rRNA from 1 species
UACGAAGGGGGCUAGCGUUGUUCGGAAUUACUGGGCGUAAAGCGCGCGCAGGCGGUUCUUUAAGUCAGGGGUGAAAGCCCAGAGCUCAACUCUGGAAUUGCCUUUGAAACUAGAGAACUUGGGUACGGGAGAGGUGAGUGGAAUUCCGAGUGUAGAGGUGAAAUUCGUAGAUAUUCGGAAGAACACCAGUGGCGAAGGCGACUUACUGGACACAUAUUGACGCUGAGGUGCGAAAGCGUGGGGAGCAAACAGG